rnacentral:rRNA from 1 species
AUUGAACGCUGGCGGCAGGCCUAACACAUGCAAGUCGGGCGAGGGGCGGACGGGUGAGUAAUGUAUGGGGAACUGCCUGAUGGAGGGGGAUAACUACUGGAAACGGUAGCUAAUACGGCAUACUAUCAGAUGAACCUAUGUGGGAUUAGCUCGUAGGUGAGGUAACGGCUUACCUAGGCGAUGAUCCCUAGCUGGUCUGAGAGGAUGAUCAGCCACACUGGGACUGAGAAACGGCCCAGACUCCUACGGGAGGCAGCAGUGGGGAAUAUUGCACAAUGGGCGAAAGCCUGAUGCAGCCAUGCCGCGUGUAUGAAGAAGGCCUUCGGGUUGUAAAGUACUUUAAGUCGGGAGGCGUUACCGACAGAAGAAGCACCGGCUAACUCCGUGCCAGCAGCCGCGGUAAUAC